rnacentral:lncRNA from 1 species
CUGGGCUUCCCCUGCCCUAACCUAAGCCCAGCUGGGCUUCAUUCAGCACGCUGUGUACCACUCUUGAUGGGUAGGCCCACUCUGCCCGCACCUUGAAACCUGACCAGGUCUUCUCCCACCCCAUGAAUGUAAACAUUUUAACAACUAGCCUGACUGUGAAAAGCCUGGAGAAUCCUUCCUACAGGGGACAGUGGACCUCCAGAGGGGCAGACGUGUCCUGAGCUCAGCCAAUCUGAUGAUCUCCUGGGACACCGACCCCUGAGGAAGUGACUCAAGAUGGACAGGAAUUGGGCAAAGUCAUUCAGGGAGUUGCCGAACAAGCCAGUGAGCAUGAGGCCAUGGCUGCAGGACGGCUCCCCACACUUCCUCAUCUUGGGAGGACCUCUCCCUUCUCCAUAGCCUUCCCUCCAACCUCCUUCUCCUACUUCAGCCAGAGGAGCUUUCUGUAUCUGCAUCAAGAGCCUCACAGACCCCCGGCUCCUCAUUUUCCAUUUCUGUGCCAUUUCUGCACCUUAGCACGAGCGUUUCUGAGGUGCGAGGCCAUGUCAGGGACACGCGGGCCCUGCAACACCAUCAACACGUGGUUCUCGGCACCUGGUGUUGCCUUCGGAGGCACAGAGGACGUUCUAGAAACACGAGGGUGCAAAGAGAAGCUGGACAGGCGCCCACACCUGGCUGGCACGCACACCUGUGUGCACCGAGGGGGAACUGACGAGCACCUGAAUUGCCGAGCCAGGCUGCAGCUAAUAAAACAGAGAAAGUAAGUGCAUCGGGCACUCCAGACCAAAGCCAUUUGCAGAAUGGAGUCACAGGCUGACAUCCAAGACUUUAGCCAGCUGGCUUCAGGCAGCAGAUGCAAAGGAGAGGUCAUGAGCAGGCCAGGCCCUGGCUAGGCAGUUUCGCCUAACAGAGAAGGAGACAAAACUAACCCGGUGGCCACGUGGCCGAAGGCACAGAGCCGUUGAGUGGCAGCGUGGCAUUUGAAUUCAGGCCGGUGAUGCUGAAGUCCCCAGGUCUUUUUUUUUUUGAUGCCCACAACAAUGUAACUACUAAUAGCCUGUUAUUGAUGCAGGCCUUACCAAUAACAUAAAUAGUUGAUGAACACAUAUUUUGCAUAUGUGUUAUAUACUGUAUUCUUAUCAUAAACGAGCCAAAGAGAAGGAGAUGUUAUUAAGAAAACGGUAAGAAAGAGAAAAUAUAUUUAGCAUUCAUUUAGCAGAAGGGGAUCACCAUAAAGGUCUUCAUCCCUGUUAUCUUCACCUUGAAGAGGCUGAGAAGGAGGAGAAGGAGGGGGUGGUCUUGCUGUCUUAGGGAUGGUGGAGGUAGAAGAGGCAAAGAAGGUGGAAGGGAAGGCAGCCACGCUCGGUGUAAGCUUUAUUGGAAAAAAUCUGCAUUUAUGUGGACUCUCACCAGGCAAACCCGUAUGGUGCUCGAGGGCCAACUGUAUUUCCACUACCGUCAUCCGCCUUGCCCAGGGUGACCUGAUUCACUGACGGGAGGGUUUGCCUUCCCAUGCGCAUCAGUUCAGCCUUCCCCUGAUGUCAUUCUUUUCCUAGUGGCUAACAGGCUGGAUGUGCAGUUGGGGACAGUCAGUAUCUGGGGUCUGGUGAGGACCCUCUUCCUGGUUUGCAAAGCAGGAAGAUGCCAGGCAUCUCUUUCUGUCCUGCUCAGUCAAGUGUGAAUCACAAAGCCUGAGUUCAGAUCCUCGACCUUGGGCAGGUGAACUUCACUCUUAUGAGUCUCAAUUUCUGUACCCAC